GACGCGUUCGAUGUUUGUCUAAGGAAAAGCAGAUUCAUGCCCACAAACUUGACAGGGCAACUGCUGCAAAAGGAUAACGUUAGUCAGAUGUAAUAUGUAAAGAAGGAGCUUAGAGCCUUCUCACACGUUUGGUUGUUUUGAUGUUCCCAUGGCACUCGUAGACACUCGCAAGCGGCCAAAGAGAAAGUCGAAAAGUUAAAAAUUACAAAUGGAAGAACGUAUAUUAAAGCAGUAAUCUAUUCACUAUAAACAGCUUAUUAUGAUGUAUCGAGUAGAGCAGCCCUCUGAGGAAGUGUA